UUAUCUAUUGCACGUUUUCAAGGAGGAUCUCCAUACAUUUAUCCUUUGUAUAGACUAGGAGAGCUUCCUCAGGCAUUUGCACGACUUAGUGCGGUUUAUGGUGGUACUUAUAUGCUUAAUAAACCUGAAUGCAAGGUGGAGUUCAAUGAGGAAGGGAAAGUUAUUGGUGUCACAUCUGAAGGUGAAACUGCCAAGUGCACUAAAGUUGUCUGUGACCCUUCUUACUUACCCAACAAGGU